rnacentral:rRNA from 1 species
UACGGAAGGGGCAAGCGUUGUUCGGAAUCAUUGGGCGUAAAGGGCGCGUAGGUGGUUCUGUAUGUCUAUCGUGAAAGCGUACGGCUCAACCGUAUUUUGUCGGUAGAAACUGCAGGACUUGAGGCUGGGAGGGGCUGGUGGAAUUCCCUGUGUAGCAGUGAAAUGCGUAGAGAUGGGGGAGAACACUCGUGGCGAAGGCGGCCAGCUAGACCAGUUCUGACACUGAGGCGCGACAGCGUGGGGAGCAAACAGG